GCGCGAAAACUUUACAAUGCUGGCAACAGCGAUAAGGGAACCUCGAGUGCCAGGUUACAAAUCUGGCUGUCGUGAUGCCUAAAAAGCAUUGCAUAGCAAGGGCCGGGCAAGACCGGUGCCAGCCGCCGCGGUAACACCGGCGGCUCGAGUGGUAACCGUUAUUAUUGGGUCUAAAGGGUCUGUAGCCGGCCGGGUAAGUCUCUUGGGAAGUCCAGCAGCUUAACUGAUGGGCUUUCAGGAGAUACUGUCUGGCUCGAGGCCGGGAGAGGUGAGAGGUACUUCAGGGGUAGGGGUGAAAUCUUGUAAUCCUUGAAGGACCACCAGUGGCGAAGGCGUCUCACCAGAACGGACCUGACGGCAAGGGACGAAAGCUAGGGGCACGAACC
rnacentral:rRNA from 1 species